AACGAACGCUGGCGGCAGGCCUAACACAUGCAAGUCGAGCGAGGACUUCGGUCCUAGCGGCGGACGGGUGAGUAACGCGUGGAACGUGCCCUUUGCUUCGGAAUAGCCCUGGGAAACUGGGAGUAAUACCGGAUGAGCCCUUUGGGGGAAAGAUUUAUCGGCGAAGGAUCGGCCCGCGUUGGAUUAGGUAGUUGGUGGGGUAAUGGCCUACCAAGCCGACGAUCCAUAGCUGGUUUGAGAGGAUGAUCAGCCACACUGGGACUGAGACACGGCCCAGACUCCUACGGGAGGCAGCAGUGGGGAAUCUUAGACAAUGGGGGAAACCCUGAUCUAGCCAUGCCGCGUGAGCGAUGAAGGCCUUAGGGUUGUAAAGCUCUUUCAGCUGGGAAGAUAAUGACGGUACCAGCAGAAGAAGCCCCGGCUAACUCCGUG
rnacentral:rRNA from 1 species